rnacentral:pre_miRNA from 1 species
AGUGGGGUUGCUGGGUUGUAUGGUAAGGUGAUAUUUAAUUUUAAAGAAACUGACAAAUUGUUUUCCAAAGUGGCUGCCCCAUUUUGCAUUUCUACCAGCAAU